ACGCUCGACACCUACGGGAGGCAGCAGUUGGGAAUAUUGGACAAUGGAGGAAACUCUGAUCCAGUGACGCCGCGUGAAGGAAGAAGGUCUUCGGAUUGUAAACUUAUUUUGUCAGGGAAGAAAAAUGACUGUACCUGAAGAAAAAGCACCGGCUAACUACGUGCCAGCAGCCACGGUAAUCUGAGCGGGCUGGCAAGGC
rnacentral:rRNA from 1 species